rnacentral:rRNA from 1 species
UAGUCCACGCCGUAAACGAUGUCUACUAGCCGUUGGGGAACUUGAUUCUUUAGUGGCGCAGCUAACGCACUAAGUAGACCGCCUGGGGAGUACGGCCGCAAGGUUAAAACUCAAAUGAAUUGACGGGGCCCGCACAAGCGGUGGAGCAUGUGGUUUAAUUCGAUGCAACGCGAAGAACCUUACCAGGUCUUGACAUCCUGAGAAUCCUGUAGAGAUACGGGAGUGCCUUCGGGAAUUCAGUGACAGGUGCUGCAUGGCUGUCGUCAGCUCGUGUCGUGAGAUGUUGGGUUAAGUCCCGUAACGAGCGCAACCCUUGUCCUUAGUUGCUAACAUUUAGUUGAGAACUCUAAGGAGACUGCCGGUGACAAACCGGNGGAAGGUGGGGACGACGUCAAGUCAUCAUGGCCCUUACGACCUGGGGCUACACACGUGCUACAAUGGUCGGUACAAACGGGUUGCGAAGCAGCGAUGUGGAGCUAAUCCGAUAAAACCGAUCGUAGUCCGGGAUUGGGAGU